rnacentral:rRNA from 1 species
CACGUAGGGUGCGAGCGUUGUCCGGAAUUAUUGGGCGUAAAGAGCUCGUAGGCGGUGUGUCGCGUCGGCCGUGAAAACCUGCAGCUUAACUGUGGGCGUGCGGUCGAUACGGGCAUCACUGGAGUUCGGCAGGGGAGACUGGAAUUCCCGGUGUAGUGGUGGAAUGCGUAGAUAUCGGGAGGAACACCAGUGGCGAAGGCGGCUUCCUGGACCUGAUCUGACGCUGGAGGAGCGAAAGCGUGGGGAGCGAUCCGG